UGUGUAGAAAUUAACUCUGUUAGAGUUUCAGAAAAAUUUUGUUUUGUACAGUGUGAUAAUGUAAGGGGUUGCAUUAGUGAAGCCUAAUGAAGAAAAUGCAUUCUUUCACGUAGUAAUAGGAAUCUAAUAAGUCUCUUGCGUGUGAUGGGAGCUCUAGCAAUUUUAUUGAGAAUUAAAGCUUGAUUGACCUUCGUUAAGGUGAUUAACCCUUCUAAAAUUAAAAGCCAGAUGUGAAUUAUGCUGUCCAAUUUAAAUGCAAA
rfam:Ochotona princeps cont2.74751, whole genome shotgun sequence.